GACGAGGGAUCCUAGCGUUGCUCGGAAUCAUUGGGCGUAAAGAGGGCGUAGGUGGCUAGGUAAGUCAGGUGUGAAAGCCCAGGGCUCAACCCUGGAAGUGCAUUUGAUACUGCUUAGCUUGAGUGUUGGAGAGGUUACCGGAAUACCUGGUGUAGUGGUGAAAUACGUAGAUAUCAGGUGGAACACCGAUGGCGAAGGCAGGUCUCUGGGCAUUAACUGACGCUGAGGAGCGAAAGCAUGGGGAGCGAACAGG
rnacentral:rRNA from 1 species